rnacentral:rRNA from 1 species
UACGAAGGGGGCUAGCGUUGCUCGGAAUUACUGGGCGUAAAGGGAGCGUAGGCGGGUUAUCAAGUUGGGGGUGAAAGCCCGGGGCUCAACCUCGGAAUUGCCUUCAAAACUGGUAGCCUAGAGUAUGAUAGAGGUAUGUGGAACUCCGAGUGUAGAGGUGAAAUUCGUAGAUAUUCGGAAGAACACCAGUGGCGAAGGCGGCUUACUGGACCGGCAUUGACGCUGAGGCGCGAAAGCGUGGGUAGCAAACAGG